UAUGGCAGAUUAGUGCAAUGGAUUUAAAUUCCCUACAUAAAGAAUUACUCUUUUAUUAAAA
rnacentral:tRNA from 1 species